ACACGACUACAUUAGAUACCCGCGUAGUCCUAGCCGUAAACGAUACUCGCUAGGUGUCGGCCACGGUGCGACCGUUGUCGGUGCCGUAGGGAAGCCGUGAAGCGAGCCACCUGGGAAGUACGGCCGCAAGGCUGAAACUUAAAGGAAUUGGCGGGGGAGCACCACAACGGGUGGAGCUUGCGGCUUAAUUGGAUUCAACGCCGGAAAUCUUACCGGGACCGACAGCAACAUGAAGGCCAGGCUGAAGACUUUGCCGGAUUAGCUG
rnacentral:rRNA from 1 species